AAUAUUGCACAAUGGGCGCAAGCCUGAUGCAGCAACGCCGCGUGAGGGAUGAAGGCCUUCGGGUUGUAAACCUCUUUUAGCAGGGAAGAAGCGAAAGUGACGGUACCUGCAGAAAAAGCACCGGCUAACUACGUGCCAGCAGCCGCGGUAAUACGUAGGGUGCAAGCGUUGUCCGGAAUUAUUGGGCGUAAAGAGCUCGUAGGCGGUUUGUCACGUCUGCUGUGAAAAUCCAAGGCUCAACCUUGGACUUGCAGUGGGUACGGGCAGGCUAGAGUGCGGUAGGGGAGAUGGGAAUUCCUGGUGUAGCGGUGGAAUGCGCAGAUAUCAGGAGGAACACCAAUGGCGAAGGCACAUCUCUGGGCCGUAACUGACGCUGAGGAGCGAAAGCGUGGGGAGCGAACAGGAUUAGAUACCCUGGUAG
rnacentral:rRNA from 1 species